GAUCCCGGAGGUCAACAUCCGACAGCGCGAUGCGCCCUCGGGUGUCGUUUGG
rnacentral:sRNA from 1 species